rnacentral:misc_RNA from 1 species
AUAAGGGUGAAUCGCGCCGAGUUAGAGCGGUUCCUGCUGGAGAGCCGGCGCGUCGUCGGCACGAACUAGUCCAGGGUCCUUCAUUGGAGAAUGGGACCAGGGACCGGGGCGCGACCGUAGGGCAUCCACCGAACCGGACCAACGGGCACGCGUGCGGAGUUUCCGGACGUCCGGAGGCUGCGGUCACGGAGCGCCCGGAACACGCGCCGCCGGUCGGCAAGCUGUUGUCCGAGGUUAUGCCGGAGGAGGUCGAAUGGCUGUGGCCUGGGCGCCUGCCUCUCGGCAAACUGGCUGUCUUGGAUGGGGACCCAGGCCUCGGCAAGAGCGUCCUGACACUCGACUUGGCGGCGCGGGUGAGCGCGGGUCUAGAUCUCCCCGACGGCGGACGGUGCGGACCGGCGGGCGUCGU